GACGAACGCUGGCGGCGUGCUUAACACAUGCAAGUCGAACGGGAAGGCUCCUGCUUUUGGGGGUACUCGAGUUGCUAACGGACGAGUAACACGUGCGUGAUCUGCCUUCCACUUGGGUAUAAACAUGGGACACUGGGUCUAAUACCGGCUAGGUCAAGCGUUUGGAUGGCAUCUCGGAACGGUUUUUCGGGGUGGGUUGAGCUCGCGGCCCAUCAGCUUGUGGGUGGGGUAAUGUCCUACCAAGGCGUCGACGGGUAGCCGGCCUGAGAGGGUGUACGGCCACAUUGGGACUGAGAUACGGCCCAGAGUCCUACGGGAGGCAGCAGUGGGGAAUAGUGGACAAUGGGCGGAAGCCGUAUGCAGCGACGCCGCGUGGGGGAGGACGGCCUUCGGGGUGGAAACUCCGUUCGCUAGGGACGAAGCGCAAGUGACGGUACCUGGAGAAGAAGCACCGGCUAACUACGUG
rnacentral:rRNA from 1 species